AACGAACGCUGGCGGCAUGCCUAACACAUGCAAGUCGAACGAGACCUUCGGGUCUAGUGGCGCACGGGUGCGUAACGCGUGGGAACCUGCCCUUAGGUUCGGAAUAACUCCCCGAAAGGGGUGCUAAUACCGGAUAAUGUCUUCGGACCAAAGAUUUAUCGCCUUUGGAUGGGCCCGCGUUGGAUUAGCUAGUUGGUAGGGUAAAAGCCUACCAAGGCGACGAUCCAUAGCUGGUCUGAGAGGAUGAUCAGCCACACUGGGACUGAGACACGGCCCAGACUCCUACGGGAGGCAGCAGUGGGGAAUAUUGGACAAUGGGCGAAAGCCUGAUCCAGCAAUGCCGCGUGAGUGAUGAAGGCCUUAGGGUGGUAAAACUCUUUUAACCGGGAUGAUAAUGACAGUACCGGGAGAAUAAGCUCCGGCUAACUCCGUG
rnacentral:rRNA from 1 species